GAAGACUUGUCAGAAGCAGAGGUUGAAGAUACUCUAGCAAAGAGACAACCCAAAAAGAAACAUUAUUCAGACUUCGUUACAGAUGCAGAUGAACUUAUAAAUGAUCAACGCCAGGACAACCAUAUUGACAGUGAUCAUGAUGAAUCUGAAGAGGAAAUGAACAAUCAUCUUCCUAAGCCCCCAGAAAAGGUUUCUAGUGCCAGGAAGGAUAGCAAUAAAUCCACAUUUG